UACAGAGGUCCCAAGCGUUGUUCGGAUUCACUGGGCGUAAAGGGUGCGUAGGCGGUCGGGUAAGUCUGAUGUGAAAGCUCGGAGCUUAACUCCGAAAUGGCAUCGGAUACUAUUCGGCUAGAGGAAUGGCGAGGGGAGACUAGGUAAUUCCGUGGUGUAGCGGUGGAAAUGCGCAGAUAUCAGGAGGAACACCGGUGGCGAAAGGCGG
rnacentral:rRNA from 1 species